CGCACUCUUCGGAGUGAGCGGCGGACGGGUUAGUAACGCGUGGGAACAUACCUUUCGGUAAGGAAUAGCCACUGGAAACGGUGAGUAAUACCUUAUACGCCCUUCGGGGGAAAGAUUUAUCGCCGAGAGAUUGGCCCGCGUUAGAUUAGAUAGUUGGUGGGGUAACGGCCUACCAAGUCUACGAUCUAUAGCUGGUUUUAGAGGAUGAUCAGCAACACUGGGACUGAGACACGGCCCAGACUCCUACGGGAGGCAGCAGUGGGGAAUCUUGGACAAUGGGCGCAAGCCUGAUCCAGCCAUGCCGCGUGAGUGAUGAAGGCCUUAGGGUCGUAAAGCUCUUUCGCCAGAGAUGAUAAUGACAGUAUCUGGUAAAGAAACCCCGGCUAACUCCGUGCCAGCAGCCGCGGUAAUACGGAGGGGGUUAGCGUUGUUCGGAAUUACUGGGCGUAAAGCGUACGUAGGCGGACCAUUAAGUUGGGGGUGAAAUCCCGGGGCUCAACCCCGGAACUGCCUCCAAAACUGCUGGUCUUGAGUUCGAGAGAGGUGAGUGGAAUUCCGAGUGUAGAGGUGAAAUUCGUAGAUAUUCGGAGGAACACCAGUGGCGAAGGCGGCUCACUGGCUCGAUACUGAC
rnacentral:rRNA from 1 species